GGAGCCGGCAGUGGUUACUGGAGGCACAGCUAGUGCCCUUCCUGCCAAACUUUGCUUAUUUUUCCAAAAGUGGGGAAGCUUCUGGGCUGGAAAAAGCAACGAGUGGUGCUCUGGGGAGCAUCGCUCGGCCCCCAGCACUGCUGCAUGUUGGAGAGGAGCAGCAGUUUGUGUGCACCAGCAUGCAUCAGGCCAGUGAGGAGGGGAUACAGCUGCAACCCAGGAACACUCAUGCAAAUAAUUUUGCAUUGCAAUGCAAACUUCUGGGUAAUUUUUCAUUUCACACGGAGGCAGCAUUCCUCCAGUGCACCCCCCCGAUUCCUCCAGCACCCCCGACGUGUGUUACAGACCCUGAUAGCAUCAGGACCACAUUACCGCUGUUUCCAUUCCCCGUGUCAAAUGUCAGACCACCACCACGGCGGGGCAUGGCCGGGCAUUUUCCAGAUGGUUGCUCUUCACCGUGGGGGGACCCCGAAAGUGCUGCCACAUUGCUUUGUGGUGCAUGUUACCCCAGUCUAAAUUUCGCUUAUUUCCAUCUCAAAGACCCCAUUCUUGAGAGAGCAGAGAUCUUCGUGGCCUUCUGCUUGUUGCUUUAUACAUUUUGGCAUGUGCCUGCUCAUUUUACAAUAGAGCAGCUGUUUGUGCCUCUGCAGACAUAUUUUGUAGGUGCAACUUAAGCAAAACUUUUGAUGUGUUGGGCUUAGAGGUCACCCGAGGAAUGUCAGUGUUUGUCAUCAGGAACAUGGGCCAAGUCCUACUCACCUUCUCUGAAAAAAACCCCUUUGAAGCCAGGAGAAGGACUCAUGAGCACAAGGGGAAGAAUUUGGGCUGUAGAACAUAAAGGUACAUUUCACAUCGUGACCUUUUAUUCUUUUUUAUUUUUAAUUUAUUGUCUUAUGGAAGUUUCUCCUCUCUCCUUUCCUCCCCUGAACUUGACACCAACGCUGGUCAGACAAAAAGUCAGACACUCAAUAAGCAUUGGAAAACUUGUCUGAUAGAGUUCAAAGGGCUGGGAAAUCUAAUUUAUUUGCUAAAUGUUGAAUAUAACCUGAGUUUAUGCAACUGCAUCCUUCAGGGUAUUGAGAAGGUGCUGAAAACACAGUAACAAGCAGCUUUGUUUUCUGGGAUAAAGUUUAAAAGAUACUGAGAAAUACAACAAAUAGAGAAAAAAUCCUCAGGGAAGUUGGCAAAACCUUUGUAAAGACGGUAACAGAUGCCCCCAAAGAGGAAAUUACAACAUGUGGCAGCUGUGCUUUUUUGGUUAAGCAACUUUUCGCAAAAGUUCAAAGCAUCUGGGGAAAGUAACUGGUAACAGGGUGAGACAGAUUUAUGGAGCCCACACAUGGUAAUAUUUUUGUAUAAAAUUAGUAAAAAACCAUUAGAUCCCUAGAUGAAGAGAUUAAUUCAUACAAGUUUGCAUUCUUUGAAGAGCAAUCAUAUUUUGACUUCGUAAACUGGAAGAAUUGAGUAAUUUCUUGGAUUAAAUGAUCACAAGAGUUGUAAUCUGUAAUAAAAAUCCAUGCAGGGCUGCCAGGCUUUGUUUCUCGGAGGAUUAGGGUAAUGAGUUGAUUUGACCUUAGCAGAAUGCAUCCCAGACUGCAACCCCGUUACCUGGAUCUAAUGGGUGGAUUCAGAAAGAUGAGGCAGUUAAUCAAAGCCUUCAACAUAUUUUUUUAAUAUGGGGAAAUUUAUUGUUUAUGCGAGUUGCUGGAUUGAUAAAUUUAGGAGAAAAGCUUUGCAUAAAUCUAUGGUGUAUGGCAAGGGCACUGCCUGGGCUUAGCUAGCCAGCCUCCUGUGUGCUACGUAAAUAUAUAUGUGUGUAUAUACACACACACACGUGUGUGUAUAUAUAAGCCCCUAGAAAUGUCGUCUGUAGCCAUGAAAAGGACAGUCUGCAACAGCUCACACUGCAAAUUUAUGUUUAUUCUCUCUUUUUACAGCACUUUAGUGUUCUUGUGCUUUGUGUUUUGGUGAGACAGCCAGGAGAGACCCUGGCCAUCUGCUGCCAGAGUCACCAUAUAUAUCAUGGGAGAAAGAAGACAGACUCAGAUCUUCUGUGAGGCUUUGGAUUUUCACCCCAAAACCUCUGACGUACCCACUCCACGCUCCCAGACCAAUUAAUCCUUCCGCAGAUGAGCAGCACGAGGCCAGGCAAAAAACCCAGCAGGUACCCCUGGGUAUGUGGAGGGAGAAGGAAACGGUAAGUGCGCUUUCCCACCACCUCCUCCUCCUGACCUGCCCAUCCCUGGUGCGUGCUGGCCAUCCCUGGGGGUCACCACACCGCGGUGCCCCACAUGUGCCCCCCAGCCCACGUGGGCGCAGGUGCUCCUGCGCGGAGACGCAUUUACAGAAGGCGAAGAGAGGCCGGAGGAAGCCGCAGUCACGCGAGCUGCAUGUGGUUUAGGGAGCAAGUGCCAACAUCUCUCACUCUCACUGUCCCAGUGUUGCUCCGAGGGCAACCUGAUCUGCCUUUAAUCUACUCUGACCACAGGACAAAUGGUUUAAAUAAAAUCCUGCAUGACUGAG